CCUACGGGUGGCAGCAGUAGGGAAUAUUGCUCAAUGGGGGAAACCCUGAAGCAGCAACGCCGCGUGGAGGAUGAAGGUUUUCGGAUUGUAAACUUCUUUUGUUAGAGAAGAUAAUGACGGUAUCUAACGAAUAAGCACCGGCUAACUCCGUGCCAGCAGCCGCGGCAAUACGGAGGGUGCAAGCGUUACUCGGAAUCACUGGGCGUAAAGAGCGCGUAGGCGGGAUAGCAAGUCAGAUGUGAAAUCCUAUGGAUUAACCAUAGAACUGCAUUUGAAACUGUUAUUCUAGAGUAUGGGAGAGGUAGGUGGAAUUCGUGGUGUAGGGGUGAAAUGCGUAGAGAUCAAGAGGAAUACUCAUUGCGAAGGCGACCUGCUAGAACAUAACUGACGCUGAUGCGCGAAAGCGUGGGGAGCAAACAGGAUUAGAUACCCUUGUAGUC
rnacentral:rRNA from 1 species